GCUCCCAUGGCGUAUUGGUCACUGCGCUCGCCUUGCAUUACACGUGGGAGACCCGGGUUCGAUUCCCGGCGGGGUCA
rnacentral:tRNA from 1 species